GCGCCAGUCCCACCCCCAGACACGUGACGCCGGGGCGGUUCUCCGCCCCUAGUUGGAAGCCAGCCGGUGAGCUCCCGCGCCCAGGGCCUCGCCAGGGAACUAGGCCCACCCACCUGUCCGCCGCCCCAGCGGAUCGGAGAACUGAGACACUCUGAUGGGUGGAAUCCUUACCCAGACUGUACACACCCUUCUGCUGGAGUCCAUGUGCCCCUUGCUGCUGCUGGGGAGGGGACGGCACCUUGCGGGCUGACAAACCUGAGAUUGUCCCUGGAUGCUCACCAUUCUCAGGUUGGACAGUCCUGAAGGCACCGCCCAGGCGGCUGACGGGGCUUUCGAAGGCUCAUUAUUCUUUGGGGUUCCUCACCUCGUGUCCCAGGAGCCUCUGGACAAGUGAGGGAGGGGCUCGGGGUCUGUCCUGGCCCAGGCUCUGAGGGUCUCUCCAGGCUGCAGGCCCACCCUCAGCUACUCCUCAGGUUCGUCCCCCACCCCCUGGCCUCUCCUGGGGCCACAGCAGCCCAGGUGCCCAGAGAGCAACACAAGGGGCCACUCAUCAGUCCCAGCUGGCACGCAGCCUGAGCGGUUUGCCUGGGGAUGGGCUUCUCUGGCCCCACCAGCACCACCCAGCUUCUCCUCAUGCUGGAAGUCCCCAGUGGCUCCAGUCCUGGACCUUGAACCCUGGUGCUGUUUCUGCGACUGGGAGGCUCCCUGAGGCUGGAGGAAUUGCCCCUUUCUCCAGUGGCACCCCAAAGACCCAUUCAUCAGGUCUGUUUGGAAGGUGACCACUUCUGCCACCCCUCAGGGUCCUGGCAGGAUGUGGCCCAAGAACCCCCCUAAGCUGUGACCUUGUCUCCGGGAGAUGUCUCUGGUGAGGGACCCUCAGCUUGAGGGGGUAGGGCUUGGUCCUAGGCCACCACUGACUCUGGGGAAGUGGGAGGAAGCUGUCCCACCCACAGGCUGGUGGCUGAGUAGGGUGAGAGCCCUGAGCUGCAUCACACAUGUGUGUGUCUGGGGCCAUGUGCUUUUUGCACACGCAUGAGCAGGUGUGGCUUUGAUAUCUUCUCUGGGAGCUAGUUAGCCUCUAGAUGGACUCGGGGGCCCCUCCUGGGAUGACCUAGUUCCUGCCCAGCUCAUCAACUGUCUGCCUCAUUUCUCGUCUGGGAAGAGCUGGCCAGACAGAAGGGCAUCUCUGCCUCCUUGCCUGUCAGCACUUGAGCAGGGCCAGGCCUGCUGCAGGCUCCAGGCACUAGAGCACAGGAUGAAUGAAUGAAUAAAUUUGGCCCUGGAGACGGGGCUGGAGCGGGGAGCUGUCCACUUACCAGGUUGUGGGGGAGAGGUCCCUUCUGCCGACCUUAGGGCUGUGUCGCUCCUCUGGCCCUGCGCCUGACCACCUCUGGACCAAGCUCCCGCCUUUAUCUGCUGCCCUUCGCCUGGCCCCCACCCAGAGACUUCCUGUCCCCGCCCCACAACUAGCUUUUCCAUGACAUGGCCUUUGUGAGGGGGGCGGGGAACCAAGAGAGACCAGGAGGGCAGAAAAGAGUGAGACCAGGCCAUGAGGUGGAGGGGACAUCUGUGUGGGGGCUUCUGACAGCCCACCUACUGCAGCUGGGAACCUGCCUCAGGUUUGUGAGCCAGGCAGGUCUGCACCCUAGCGGGUACCCUUGCCCAAAAACUGUGAAGGCAGGGCCGGACGUGGUUUCUGGCCCUGACAAUGUGGCCGGCUCGCUGAGGCACCGGCGUCUCCCCUGCAAGUGGGGCCCCUGUGGCCAGCACGAACUCCUCACUGCUUCCUUCAGCCACCCGCACAC
ensembl:lncRNA